rnacentral:lncRNA from 1 species
CUUGCGGUCGACUUGCGGUCGACUUGGCUCGGUCGAAGUCAGGACGAGUUUCAAGUCUGCUGCGGGGCUAGCUUGAAACAGUCUUGAUGCGUUAUUCCAACAUGGCCGCCUCUCGAAUGGACGUCGCGCGGAGGUUGUACGCUUUUGAAUUUGCUUGCCACGCUAUGAACGUAGCAUUUUCUGAGGCACAUUGCCUGCCGAAGAUUCCGCGACCCGCCUUACGUGACCGAGGAAAUCCGAUGGAGUUGUACGACGAGGAACAAUUCCAUGCUCGCUACAGGUUCACCAAGAACGCCAAGCACCGAUAGAACC